AACGCGAAGAACCUUACCCAGAUUUGACAUACAGAGGACGACGGUAGAAAUAUCGUUUCCCUUCGGGGCCUCUGAACAGGUGCUGCAUGGCUGUCGUCAGCUCGUGCCGUGAGGUGUUUGGUUAAGUCCAGCAACGAGCGCAACCCUUAUCAUUAGUUGCCAACAUUUAAGGUGGGAACUCUAAUGAGACUGCCUGGGUUAACCAGGAGGAAGGUGAGGAUGACGUCAAGUCCGCAUGGCCCUUAUAUCUGGGGCUACACACGUGCUACAAUGGUCGGUACAGAAGGCAGCGAAGCCGCGAGGUGGAGCAAAUCCUUAAAGCCGAUCUCAGUUCAGAUUGUAGUCUGCAACUCGACUACAUGAAGAUGGAAUUGCUAGUAAUGGCAGGUCAGCAACACUGCCGUGAAUACGUUCCCGGGCCUUGUACACACCGCAUAC
rnacentral:rRNA from 1 species